UACGUAGGGGGCUAGCGUUGUCCGGAAUCAUUGGGCGUAAAGCGCGUGUAGGCGGUCCGGUAAGUCCGCUGUGAAAGUCGAGGGCUCAACCCUCGAAUGCCGGUGGAUACUGUCGGGCUAGAGUGCGGAAGAGGCGAGUGGAAUUCCUGGUGUAGCGGUGAAAUGCGCAGAUAUCAGGAGGAACACCUAUUGCGAAGGCAGCUCGCUGGGACGUAACUGACGCUGAGACGCGAAAGCGUGGGGAGCAAACAGG
rnacentral:rRNA from 1 species